UACGGAGGGGGCAAGCGUUAUUCGGAAUUAUUGGGCGUAAAGGGCGCGUAGGCGGCUUGAUAAGUCAAAGGUGAAAUCCCUCGGCUCAACUGAGGAACUGCCUUUGAAACUGUCAGGCUCGAGGCCGGGAGGGGGUAGCGGAAUUCCCAGUGUAGCGGUGAAAUGCGUAGAUAUUGGGAGGAACACCAGUGGCGAAGGCGGCUACCUGGACCGGUUCUGACGCUGAUGCGCGAAAGCGUGGGUAGCAAACAGG
rnacentral:rRNA from 1 species